rnacentral:rRNA from 1 species
CGUGUAGGCGGUUUGGUAAGUCUGAUGUGAAAGCCCUGGGCUCAACCCGGGAAGUGCAUUGGAAACUGUCAGACUUGAAUACGGGAGAGGGUAGUGGAAUUCCUGGUGUAGGAGUGAAAUCCGUAGAUAUCAGGAGGAACACCGGUGGCGAAGGCGGCUGCCUGGACCGAUAUUGACGCUGAGACGCGAAAGCGUGGGUAGCAAACAGGAUUAGAUACCCUGGUAGUCCACGCCGUAAACGAUGAGUACUAGGUGUUGCGGGUAUUGACCCCUGCAGUGCCGCAGCUAACGCACUAAGUACUCCGCCUGGGAAGUACGGUCGCAAGACUAAA